rnacentral:lncRNA from 10 species
UUCAGCCGCCGCCGCUGGCGCGCACUGUACAGCUGCAUCAGCUGUUCGUAGGACAUGUCCAGCAGCUGGUCCAGGUCCACGCCGCGGAAUACAAAAGCCAUCAGGAAAAGGCCAAAUGAGUGUGCUCUCCUGUCACUGAAGGCUUCUGAAAGGAUAUGGGCCAGUGCAUCAGAUUUUGUUGCUGAGCAGGUUGGAGAAGAGCAUCAAAGGUGAGAGCAAAGGUAAGAACCAGCAUAGAUGUGGGAAUGAGUGGGUGGGUGCACCGGCCAAGAAGGGGCCUGACUGAAGGACCAGGGAACAACCAAUAGGUUAUGGAAGGCUGGAGUCAGAUUGCAGAGACUAGAGACUCCUAAUAUCAGGCUGAGAAAUCAAAUAGCUGUUCAUCAUUUGUGCCUGAGGAUGGAUCAGAGCAACGUGAUGAAAGUGGCACUUGUGUAAGACUUGCCCAGCAAAGUAGGGCAAGGAUGGAUGCAAGGGAAAGAAUCUGGAGCCUCAGGCCAAGAAGAAUCAGGAUCUGUUAUACAAGGACCCAGGUAUGGGGGCUUGAAAGCAACUUGGGGGCUAGGACUGUGUCUGGACCACCAUGUGGCCCCAUAUUGGUGGUAGGGACUGAGUGUUGAAUACGUGAAUGUUGUGAAUUAAUUAAGAAGAAAAGAGUUGAGAGUUGUUUUUAAUCAAGGAACAGUAGGCUCUAAUGAUAGAGAGACCUCCUCACCUCUUUCCCACAAACCCCCAUCCUGCACCCUAUGUUCCAGGGAUAGUAAGCUGUUCACUGUUGUCAAGAGACUGGUUCUGCCCUAUCUCUGGACAUUCGUAUUACUGCUUGCUUUGCCUGGAAGGGAAGGGAAGACAUUUCUGACUGAAUCAAAAAGUGAUUUAGAGGAGUAAAUAUAAAGAAGUUUUAGGAAUACCUUAAUCAAUUUCUGCUUUUAUUUUCAUUUUAAUGUAUUUAAAAGUAUAAUACAAUGAAAAUAAUCCAUGCCUAAAUAUGUCUAAAUAGGUUUUAAUGUUUAAGAUAAAAAUCUUAGGUAGGGCUGGGCUCACAUCUGUAAUCCCAGCAUUUCGGGAAGCUGAGGCAGGUGGAUCACUCGAGGUCAGGAAUUCGAGACCAGUCUGGCCAACAUGGAGAAACCCCACCUCUACUAAAAAUACAAAAAUUAGCUGGGUGUGGUAGUGGGCACCUGUAAUCCCAGCUACCUGGGAGGCUGAGGCAUGAGAAUAGCUUGAAUCCGGGAGGCGGAGGUUGCAGUGAGCUGAGAUCAUGCCACUGCACUCCAGCCUGGGCAACAAAGCAAGACUCUGUCUCAAAAACAAAAAGAAAAAUCCUCGGUAAUAAAAAGCAUUGUGUUAUACUCAAUUUGGCAAUGUUUUUUCUUUUCUUAGUCGUAUAUAAAAUAAUGGUGCAGGCCGGGUGCGGUGGCUCACGC